UACAUUCCAGGUUUUGAAGGCGUUGGACAAAAUAAUAUGUGCAUGGCAACACAUCAAAUCUGAAAUGGAAAUAGAACACUUUGAAGGCCCAGACAGUUUCAGGAACAUUUUUUGGAGAUGCUCAAGCGCCUCUUAUGGGCUUUUCAAACUACACAACUGUUUUUCCUGUUCAGGAAGUUGCACUGUCAGGCGACCAGAUAAAUGUCAUUGGACACGGCGAGAUGUCUCACGAUAAGUCAUCAAUCACUGAUCAGACCCCGCCCAAUUGUCACAUUCUUUGAAAAGGAAUAUUUUAACAACAAAACUACAGCACCCGCUCAUUCCUUCCCACCAUUAUGGAACGUAACACACUGCACAGAGCAGCAUACUGCCUAAUACAGUACUGAUACCGAGUCAUGGUGGAACUACUGCCCCAUGUUGUCGACUGAAACCGAUGUCAAAGUGCCCUGUGAUUCGCAUUGCAAGUAUCACUUGACCAAACCCAGAAAACAGAAGAGCCAUGACGUUAGCACAUACAUUAUCUAUAUACAGGAAAUCCCUCGCCAGUUCAACGUCAUAGCGCUACCCAUCACAUGUUUUUUCUCCAAUUUAAAAACCCCAGCGAAACUGUCAGCGCCUCCAGCAGAAGAGUCUCCAAGUGAACCAAAAGCCUACGAGUUAAGCUCACGAGCGUGCUGUAGCCUACCCGUGGUGUCUUCAGACAGUACCCGGAGAAAACCCACGCAGGCACGGGGGAGAACAUGCAAACUCCACGCAGGAAGGUCCAAUUGCUAUAAGGCGCCUAUCCGUCGCUAUUAUAAAGAAGACGGGGCUUGGAGCCGAUCCCAGAUACAGUCCCACCUUCGCCUUAAAUUCCUCUGUCACACCUUCAGCACACCUCAUCACUGUUCUGCUACCCUCUGGCAUCAUGUCCUGCACUAUUCAAACAUGCUUCUCUGCCACUCCAGACUUCCUUCCACAAUUCAU